rnacentral:rRNA from 1 species
CAGAGGGUGCAAGCGUUGCUCGGAUUUACUGGGCGUAAAGCGUACGCAGACGGUAAGGAAGGUCGGAUGUGAAAGCCCCGGGCUCAACCCUGGAACUGCAUCCGAAACCCCCUUGCUAGAGUAUGGGAGAGGGAAGCGGAAUUCCUGGUGUAGAGGUGAAAUUCGUAGAUAUCAGGAGGAACACCGGCGGCGAAGGCGGCUUCCUGGCCCAUUACUGACGUUCAGGUACGAAAGCGUGGGUAGCAAACAGGAUUAGAUACCCUGGUAGUCCACGCCGUAAACGAUGAGUGCUGGAUGUCGGGGGUAUUCACCCCCUCGGUAUCGAAGCUAACGCGAUAAGCACUCCGCCUGGGGAGUACGGCCGCAAGGUUG